ACCCAUUGUAAUGUAAGAAAGGGAGAUCCAAGGGGUUGCAAUGAGAAGUCAGGCUGAAGGAGAGAUCCGAAGAGCAGCGGAGGAGGGGCAGAGAGAGAAGCCUGGGAGUUCUAAAGGGGUUAGAACUCUGAAGCCAACUGUCAAGGGUCUUCCAGCCUGGGAGGUGAAGGUGGAAGGUGGUUUUCCUGGAAGUUGAGAAAGAGCCCAUCUGUUUAGGCUGUUAUUCCUUCUGGGACCCAAAAAUACCUCCACUAAGACUCUAUCUGAAUUCUCAAGGGGAUUUUGGAUUUGGACUCACUCUGGCCAGAGCCAUCCGGAGAUAUUUCCCUGAGAUUUCUCUCUCUCCCUGAUCUAUUUCUAGACUCCUGAAUUAAAAGCUAGUUAGAUGAAGAAUAGGGAUCAACCAGCAGUGGGCUGGAAGAGGGUUCAAGGCACUCAGUCUUGAACCCCAAGAUCUUGGGGGGGCAGUCUGUCAGAGGGGACAAGUGUUACGGUUUAUUACUCCCCACUUUCCUUGCCCAACACCCUUAUCUCUCCUUCCCUGGGUGAACCCAAAUAAAUUGUUUACAACUUUAGAAUAGGUCUGGAUGGUUUCUGACUCCAGGAAAGGGGACAGAAGAUUUGAGGAAAAUCACAUCUCUCCCAAAAAGGGGAAGGGUGGAGAGGAGCUUUAUCGGAUCAUACCACCUUGGAAGCACCCAAAACUUUCAGGCCUCCCAAGAACUAUCUCUGAAAACAGUAGCACAAAAAACUUGAAGUGUGGAACAGAGCCUCCUUACCAC
rnacentral:lncRNA from 1 species